UGGAGCCACGUGUGCUGCUGCACAUGGAAUCACCCCAGGCUCUGGGAACCUCCCAGGGAAAUGUGCCCUGGAGGGGGUGGUGGAGGAAGGGAAUCAGACAGACACUUCUGGUGCAAGUACAGUGCACCCCACCCAUCCACCAAGAAGUGCUGUUCCUGAAGACUCCAGAUCCACAAGUGCAAUUCUCCAUCUGCAAAUGGAUAGAUCACAGACCAAACUGCACCUGCAGUUUCAGAGAGCCCCAGGGAGAGAGCCACUGCACUACUGGUGGCACCCUUGCUCUGCAGCUCAGGUGAUGGGGACAACAUGGUGACAAGACAGAUGGCAUUACUACAGCAGAAAGUGUUAAUCAGGGACAAUGGAAAUGCCAGAGUAGCUACCUGCAGACAGAGAUGGAGAUGGAAGAAAAGGAAAUAAUCAAAUUGUGCAUUAGGACCAAGCUUGCUUAGAUAUCUGUUUACAUUUGCACUCAUCUUGUGAGAUGAAUUUGCUGUUUUUCUGUAGAUAUAGAUUCCCUCAAAUGACA
rnacentral:lncRNA from 12 species